GAGCGUAUAGCUCAGUGGUAGAGCAUGUGUUUAGCAUGGCUGAGGUCCUGGGUUCAAUCCCCAGUACCUCCA
rnacentral:tRNA from 1 species